GGUGAAGGCGCAUGCGCGCCGCGUCUGCUGUGAACGCGCCUUUAACAAGCCAAGUCAAAAUAAAAUAACAACUUCCUUUUAAUGAACCAGAGCUCUACAGAGCCGCGGGCCAAUGGAAGGAAUUUCGCUGAUGACGGAGGAGUCUCCCAAACACUCCCCCGGUUCCUAGAAUGAUCCAGCUAAGUCGAUUCUGACACUCAGACCCCCGCGCUGCGCUGCACGAAGUCGCUUUUUCGCAGAGCAGGUUUCAUAGGAGACACCUCGGGAAAGCUGCGAUCGUCUCUGUUUUAUUUCAGCUGUGAUUUUCAGAGUAAACACACGAGGCGUCUAUGAAUAAUAACGUGGAGGAAAACCAACCGGCCAGCCCGGGUCUAAUAAACAUGCGAGAAGAAACUGAAAAGAGACUGCAGCACCGCUGGAGCAGCUCGAUGGAGAAAUUUAUCAACUUCAGCGACGAGGAAUCAACAGCAGCUGCUGAGAUGAGCAAGGACUCUCCCAGGAUGAGACAGGCCGUUUCUCUUCAAGCUCCGGAGCGACCUCACGCCAGCAUCGACCCUGCCUGACUUCCUGUCUUUAUCGGUCGUGAAGCGGGGGACGAAACGACUCCAAAUACAUCACAAAAAAACGCUUUUCUCUUACAUGCAGAGUUCUGUAGCACUGUGCUUCUCAAACUUUGCCAUAGAGAGCCUCCCUGAGCUAUGAAAAAAAUAACUGCGCCUCCCCAGUUUACAAAAACAACAAACUGAAAAUCCUAUAUGUUGCAAAAAAAAUGAACAAAAAAGUAGAAGGGAUUUGAUCAAUGUAGAGCAGUAUGAGUUUCAGAAGUAUUCAUUCAAAAACAGUACAAAUGGAAGCAGCUAAAAUCUUUCUUUUUGUCCUGUUAACUUUCUUAUCUUGGUGGGUUUUAAUGUAACUUUAAAAUUGCUGCUUUUGUAUUCUGUGUAUAGUGUUAUUUAAAUCUCUUAUUUAAAUGGUCUGAUUGUGGCAGUCGUACGUGUGUCAUUCUUUAUUGUGGUUUGUUCUUUUUUCCUGCUAUGUUCUGUACAGUGCUUUGUGAUACUUUUGUAUAAAAUGCUCUAUAUAAAUAAAGAAAUGAACUCAUUGCG